CUGUUCCCUGAGAAGGCGGGCUACAACGAGCUCAAUCAGAUGGCCGAGGAGGCGAAACAGAGGGCCGAGAUUGCAAGGCUCAAGGAGCUCCACACUCUCAAGGGGCAUGUGGAGUCAGUUGUGAAGCUGAAGGGCCUCGACAUCGACACCAUUCAACAAUCUUACACCAUGUGA
rnacentral:rRNA from 1 species